rnacentral:sRNA from 1 species
GCUGGGUGUGUUGGUAUGCACCUAUAAUCCCAGCUACUUGGGAGGCUGAGGUGGGAGGAUUGCUUGAGCCCAGGAGAUCAAGGCUGCAGUGGGCUAUGAUCACUCCACUGCACUCCAGCCUGGGUGACAGAGCAAGACCCUGCCUCAG